AAUUUCUCUAAACUAAUUUUUGUCAGAAUCUCUCACCAAAUUUAACCCUCACUUUCCUCGUGCUAUUCAGUAAAAUAUUAUAUCCUUCUCACUUCCCGCCUUCCUCACUUUUCCUCCGCGCCUUCCGUCUUCCGCGUCAUCUCUCUGUGGCCCAAUUUCUUCAUCACUGAUUCACUGUCACGACGAGUUCUUCACGAGGAUUGGGUUGGGGUGCUUGAAUUUGGAAAUGAUGCAGAUGAAGUUAGAAUUAGUUAAAGUCACAUGCUCUAAUUGAUUUAUCAGUUGAGGAAGCAAGAGCUUGUCACAUUUGCACAAUCAGCUGAAGAUGUGUUGCGAGCUGUGGAGGAGUCUGCAAAAAGAGAACUUAAUUGGUAGUUUAAUGCAGUCUUCUCUGGAGGCUGUCACUGACCAACCAUCAAAGCCUCCUCGUGAAAGAGUUAAGAUAGUUACUUCUGUUCAGGAUAAGGAUGGGCUCAAGCAUUUUCGCAUGUACAUGGUAUAUCUUUGCGCUGGGAUUUUGGACUUAUUUACGGCUGAGAAAAUGGGUCUGCAGAAAAAUGGGUAUUCAGACAAAUGGGUAUUUGGAGCAACUUUUCAUGGUAGUUAAAGUGGUUGCUUUUAAAAUCAAUAAAAAAUAAUAUAUGUUUAAAAUAGAGAAAUAAUUAGAGAAUUUGAUGUAGGAACCUUUUAAAAAGUGAUAGUUAAAAUUAAAAAAAUAGAAUAUUUCACCAAAAUUUAGAGAAAGUUUAAAGAGCUCAAUGAAGAUUCUCUUUUUUCAUUACAUAUUUUGGUUACAAGAUACACCAAUAUAUAGACUUAAGAAAGGGUAAAGACCAAAGUACAAAGGGAGAAGAUAAAUGCAGGUAUGGGUUGAAAGAUUGUGAGUAUGGCUCUCUGAUGACAAGAGAUCAAAGAAUGGGUUGAGCUGUUGAUAUGUUGAUUCCUGAUGACUUGCUGCUCUUUACAUCCAUGGAUAACUUGUGGCAGUGGUGCUCAUCUGACUGGUGCGGUGCUGAUCUCUAUUUGGAAGAUUUUAGGAGUGGCUUGCGUGGCGUGGGUGGCUUGCUGACUUGCUGCAGAUUUAUUCUCCAACAACAGAUCCUAACCCGAUACGCAAACACAAACUAUCACCCCUAGUUUUGAGUAGAGUUUUAUAUGUUAAGUUAUUUGCUAGUGUUUUUGAUUUAAGAAUAGAAAACAAGGUCGUUAUCAAACACAACAAUAAAGAAUUUGUAUAUGAUCAA